UAUUAAAUAAGUUAAUUUUAAACUGUUGGGCUCAUGACUCAAUUAUUCUUUUUGAUUUAAUGG
rnacentral:tRNA from 1 species